ACUUUAAUAGCUUAUGUUUAGAGCUUAAUAUUGAAGAUAUUAUGGAGAUUGAGAUCUUAAAGUG
rnacentral:tRNA from 1 species